UUUUAAGUUUUGCUGCUGUUAACUUUUUUUAAUGGUUAAAUAAAUUUAUGGAUAAACACUAGAGCCUACAAAAAUUAUAAGGAGAAUAGAUACACUAGAAGUGUCAAGUCAAAAAAAUACUAAAAAAAACAAAAACAACAAACAACAACAAAGAAGAAAAAAAUACAUCACAAAAAACCACAACAACCCUACAGCAGAACGUCACCCCAAUAUGACCAAGCUAGAUCUCAGAUCUCUAGACCACCGAAAGCGAAAAU
rnacentral:lncRNA from 1 species